CGCUUCGUUGGUACGUUCUGUACGAUUGACCACUUACAUUGACUAGAACUAUAUACAGAUACCUGCACAUAACAGUUGCACUGAAUAAUAAGGAUUAAGUGUAUUUUAAGCAGGAGAAGGCCGCCACCAUCGGACGAUGAGCAGGGCCGUGAGCGCAAUGAAGUUGGAGAAUGUCAAAGUGCAUCUUCCGGGUCGCCAAGUCCUGCUAGACAGAAGAGAAAGCGCUCAAUAUCUGAUGACGAGCAGACGGAUGACAAUUUAAGAAGUAAAUUGCAGAAAAGCGAGGCAGAUAGACGUAAUGUAUCAACAAGGUCGCGCAGUCAAAAUCUGAUGACGAGCAGACGGAUGACUUGCUCAACAAUUUGAGAAGUGAACUGCAGAAAGUGAGUAAGAAAGACGAAAUUCUUUAACAAGACUGGAGAAAGCACAUAAAACAAUUGAACAACUAGAUCAGGAAUUGAAUGCAACAAAGUCUGAAAAGGAAGACGCUUUGGGAAGGUUUCUUCAAUAUAUUACACAUUGUAUAUACAGUAUUAAUUGGCUGAAAGUAUGUUUAAAAUUUACAUUCAGAGUCAUUUAAUUUUUGUAAACCUAUCAAUUUAUUUCUAACAAAUUUAAUGUAUAAAGGUAAAGUUAUAUUACUGAACAGUCAUUAAAGUAUUAUUGGUCCGAUAAUGAUUCAUUUGGGUUCAGUAAAACGUCCAAAAGAGGAUUGGAUUGCACAAUUGUUCAUCGAGCUUUA